rnacentral:rRNA from 1 species
CUUCGGGUUGUAAAGCUCUGUCAGAUGGGAAGAACAGCAGUUGGUCCAAUAGGCCAUCUGUUUGACGGUACCUUCAAAGGAAGCACCGGCUAACUUCGUGCCAGCAGCCGCGGUAAUACGAAGGGUGCAAGCGUUGUUCGGAUUUACUGGGCGUAAAGCGCGCGCAGGCGGAUUGAUAAGUCAGAUGUGAAAUCUCGGGGCUCAACCCCGAAACUGCGUCUGAAACUGUUGAUCUAGAGUUAUGUAGGGGAGAAGGGAAUUUCGCAUGUAGGGGUAAAAUCCGUAGAGAUGCGAAGGAACACCAGAGCCGAAGGGGCUUCUCUGGGCAUACACUGACGCUGAGGCGCGAAAGCGUGGGUAGCAAACAGGAUUAGAUACCCUGGUAGUCCACGCCGUAAACGAUGAGUACUAGAUUUUGGGGCCUUUGACCGCUUCAGAGUCGCAGCUAACGCAUUAAGUACUCCGCCUGGGAAGUACGGUCGCAAGACUAAAACUCA